rnacentral:rRNA from 1 species
GACGAACGCUGGCGGCGUGCUUAACACAUGCAAGUCGAACGGAAAGGCCCUGCUUUUGUGGGGUGCUCGAGUGGCGAACGGGUGAGUAGCACGUGAGUAACCUGCCCUUGACUUUGGGAUAACUUCAGGAAACUGGGGCUAAUACCGGAUAGGAGCUCCUGCUGCAUGGUGGGGGUUGGAAAGUUUCGGCGGUUGGGGAUGGACUCGCGGCUUAUCAGCUUGUUGGUGGGGUAGUGGCUUACCAAGGCUUUGACGGGUAGCCGGCCUGAGAGGGUGACCGGCAACACUGGAACGGGGACACGGCCCAGACUCCUACGGGAGGCAGGAGGAGGGAAUCUUCCGCAACGGGCGAAAGCCUGACGGAGCAACGCCGCGUGAGUGAUGAAGGUCUUCGGAUCGUAAAACUCUGUUAUUAGGGAAGAACAAAGGUGUAAGUAACUAUGCACGUCUUGACGGUACCUAAUCAGAAAGCCACGGCUAACUACGUG